rnacentral:rRNA from 1 species
ACGAACGCUGGCGGCAUGCCUAACACAUGCAAGUCGAACGAGACCUUCGGGUCUAGUGGCGCACGGGUGCGUAACGCGUGGGAACCUGCCCUUAGGUUCAGAAUAACUCCCCGAAAGGGGUGCUAAUACCGGAUAAUGUCUUCGGACCAAAGAUUUAUCGCCUUUGGAUGGGCCCGCGUUGGAUUAGCUAGUUGGUAGGGUAAAAGCCUACCAAGGCAACGAUCCAUAGCUGGUCUGAGAGGAUGAUCAGCCACACUGGGACUGAGACACGGCCCAGACUCCUACGGGAGGCAGCAGUGGGGAAUAUUGGACAAUGGGCGAAAGCCUGAUCCAGCAAUGCCGCGUGAGUGAUGAAGGCCUUAGGGUUGUAAAGCUCUUUUACCCGGGAUGAUAAUGACAGUACCGGGAGAAUAAGCUCCGGCUAACUCCGUG